rnacentral:rRNA from 1 species
GAUGAACGCUGGCGGCGUGCCUAAUACAUGCAAGUCGAGCGAACAGACGAGGAGCUUGCUCCUCUGACGAAAGCGGCGGACGGGGGAGUAACACGUGGAUCACCUACCUAUAAGACUGGGAUAACUUCGGGAAACCGGGGCUAAUAUCGGCUAAUAAAUUGAACCACAUGGUUUAAUAAUGAAUGACGGUUUUGCUGUCACUUAUAGGUGGUACUGCCCCGCAUUAGCUAGUUGGUGGGGUAAGGGCUUACGAAGGCAACGAUGCGUAGGCGACCUGAGAGGGUGAUCGGCCACACUGGAACUGAGACACGGCCCAGACGACUACGGGAGGCAGCAGUAGGGAAUCUUCCGCAAUGGGCGAAAGCCUGACGGAGCAACGACGCGUGAGUGAUGAAGGUCUUCGGAUCGUAGAACUCUGUUAUUAGGGAAGAACAAAUGUGUAAGUAACUAUGCACGUCUUGACGGUACCUAAUCAGAAAGCCACGGCUAACUACGUG